CAGCCAUCAAAGGUUGCAUUUAGUGCAAACUCAAGCACGUCAAUACUGCACAAGCUGAAAGCAGCAUUUUAGCUGCAGAUCUGCUGAAAGAUCUUUACAAAAUGAGGCAGUGGCCACCACGUCCUGGCUACCCAAGAAAACAAUAAAGAAGCUGCAAAUGAUCUCUAUUCCUGCUUGUUUGCUGACUCGUGAUGAAGAGUGUCGAGAGGCUGAUCAUGAGGCAUGUCAACUCCUGCCCAAGGAGUACCCGAAUCCUCUGCAACAGGGCAAAUUUGAAGACAGAAUAUCAUAUUAAUGGGAGCCUCAGAACAAAGAAACCCCAAAAGAACUCAUAAGAAAAAAGACCAUCAAACACCCAGUGCUAACAAUAAAAGUUCGCAAACAGCAUUCAGAAUGGAAUAUCGACUCGGCAUUCAGAUACAAUCACAAGGAGAGAGCACCAGUGCCUUUGGUUUCUUAGGAGGUUAAGGAGGAUUGACUUGUCACCGAACACUCUGACAGAUCAUUACAGAUGCACUGUUGAUAUCCUGUCUGGUCACAUCAUGGUCCUGUGCGGCUUUGAACAGGAACACAAAUUGUGUGACAUCCAUCAAAAACCACUGCUAUCUAUCCCACACCAUCUCCUCAUAGCUACCAGUGGGCAGGAGGUUUUAUUUCAGAAGACCCGUCCUGGCCCAGCACUUAAGUGCAGUUAUGAAGAAAGCACGGCAGUGCCUUUACUUCCUUAGGAGUCUCUGGAGAUUCGGCAUGAUAUGUAAAACUUUGACAAACUUCUAUAGAUGUGUAGUGGAGACUGUACUGACUGUCUAUAUCACAGCCUGGUACAGAAACACCAAUGCCUUUGAAUGGAAAAUCCUACAAAAUGUACUGGGCCAAAUCCACUACAUCACGUGUAAAGCCCUCCCAGCCACUGAGCACAUUGACAUAAAACAUUGUCGUAGAAAAGCAGCAUCCAUCAUCAGAGACCCUCAGCACCCAGGCCAUGCUCUUUUCUCACUGCUGCCAUCAGGUAGAAGGUGCAAGAGCCUCAGGACUCGCACCACCAGGUUCAAGAACAGUUACUACCCCUCAACCAUCAGGCUCUUGAACAAAAGGGGAUAACCACACUCACUUGCCCCAUCAUUGAAAUGCUCACACAGCCAAUGAACUCACUUUAAGGACUCUUCAUCUCAUGUUCUCGUUAUUUAUUUGUACUUGUACAGUUUGUUGACUUCUGCACUGUGGUUCAUCUUUCAUUGCUUGUGUUAUAGUUACUGUUCCGUAGGUUUACUGAGUGUGCCUGAAGGAAGAUAAGUCUCAGGAUCUUUAUGGUGACGUACAUUUACUUUGACUUUUGUCUAGUGGAGAAUGAGUAAGCCAUGGAGAACGAUUUUUUUUGUUGAUUGCUAAUUUGAACAGCAUUUGACCCCUCAUUAUGCUAAGCAAAUCACUAAUUUCGAUUAUAUAUCGAAUUAGACCGCUUAGUCACAUGAUUUGAACGCUAAGAUCGCUAUAUUGUGAAUUUAGUUUAAUUAGUCUUUUUAAUAAA